GACAGAGGGUGCAAACGUUGUUCGGAAUUACUGGGCGUAAAGCGCGUGUAGGCGGCCCUGCAAGUCGGGUGUGAAAUCCCACGGCUCAACCGUGGAAGUGCACUCGAAACUGCAGGGCUAGAGUCCUGGAGAGGAAGGUGGAAUGCUUGGUGUAGAGGUGAAAUUCGUAGAUAUCAAGCGGAACACCGGUGGCGAAGGCGGCCUUCUGGGACAGUGACGUGACGCUGAGACG
rnacentral:rRNA from 1 species